CCCGCGAGCACGCCUGUGAGGUGUUGGGG
rnacentral:piRNA from 1 species